UACUAGGGGUGCAAGCGUUGUCCGGAAUCAUUGGGCGUAAAGGGUGCGUAGGCGUCCGAGAAAGUUAUUUGUUAAAUCCUCCGGCUUAACCGGAGACCUGCAAGUAAAACUACUUGGAUAGAGUUUAAGAGAGGAAAAUGGAAUUCCUGGUGUAGCGGUGACAUGCGUAGAUAUCGGGAGGAACACCAGUGGCGAAGGCGGCCACCUGGACAGGUACUGACGCUGAGGUGCGAAAGUGUGGGGAGCAAACAGGAUUAGAUACCCUGGUAGUCCACGCUGUAAACGAUGAAUACUAGGUGUGGGGGGACUAACCCCCUCCGUGCCGGAGUUAACACAAUAAGUAUUCCACCUGGGGAGUACGAUCGCAAGGUUGAA
rnacentral:rRNA from 1 species